AGCGAACGCUGGCGGCAGGCUUAACACAUGCCAGUCGAGCGGACCUUUCGGGGUCAGCGGCGGACGGGUGAGUAACGCGUGGGAACGUGCCUUCCGGUUCGGAAUAACCCUGGGAAACUAGGGCUAAUACCGGAUACGCCCUUAUGGGGAAAGGUUUACUGCCGGAAGAUCGGCCCGCGUCUGAUUAGCUAGUUGGUGGGGUAACGGCCUACCAAGGCGACGAUCAGUAGCUGGUCUGAGAGGAUGAUCAGCCACACUGGGACUGAGACACGGCCCAGACUCCUACGGGAGGCAGCAGUGGGGAAUAUUGGACAAUGGGCGCAAGCCUGAUCCAGCCAUGCCGCGUGAGUGAUGAAGGCCUUAGGGUUGUAAAGCUCUUUUAUCCGGGACGAUAAUGACGGUACCGGAGGAAUAAGCCCCGACUAACUUCGUG
rnacentral:rRNA from 1 species